rnacentral:lncRNA from 1 species
CCUGUUUUGAGAGUCACGUUGGCAUGGGAAUACCACUUCUUUCAACCCUUGAAUGUUUUAUUCCCACAACACUUAUUUAUAAGUUGCCUGCUGUCCAUCUGAUAGUGACGGAAGACACAGCUCUGAUUGGGGGACAAAUUGGCCGUGAAACUGACAAGACAAAGGAGAAACAGGGUGCUGUGGCCACACUAGGGAGGAAGUAACUGGCCCAGUGUUCUCACCUCAGCAGGACAGCACGGAAUGACCCAGAAUGACCCCGUUCGGGAUGGUCCUUGGCAUCGCCCUCUGUCUCUGACCUGUGGCAGAGGAAAGAAGGAGCAAGAAACACGGUGUCAGAGAGAGGGAUAAAUUAAGAGGCCAAACAUAAAGAACAUGAAGAACACUCAUGAUUGUUUUGUUAUUAGAAUUUGGGUUUACAUAUGUGUAUGUAUCUCGGAAGGAUAUUGUAAGGAAUAAAAUCAUUUUAUAUGUAUAAAGUGCUGAGAAU